UUGGGCUGUGAUGUUGAAAACUACCUAUUUUCUGAGGGAUAUUCCUUUGAUUAUAAUAAACCAAUGGAUCCUUCUGAGCCCA
rnacentral:snoRNA from 1 species